CGCAGCGUAACCGUGGGAGACGCUUCCUUGACCUUCCCUCUCCUCCUCCUAAUGUGUUACUCAUCCUCUUCCCUCUUUUCGGCGGGCGUCUGACGUUCGGACCGUGGCUGCAUCGAUGCAAAAAUGGGUUGUGGGAAUUCGUCGGCCGCCAGCACCUCAGAAGGGGGGCCAGCCGAAGCCUCCAAGGAUGUAAGAUCCCUUGGCAGAUGACGAGAAAAGAAGGAACUAUGGUGGAGUGUACGUGGGUCUCCCUACAGACCUGAACGCCGUGGCUGCCAGUCAGUCCAAGACUGUCAGAAAAGACUAGCAGGCAUUGACGUGGACAUCCUCACAGGAUGCCGUCUUAUGGACGACACCUUGACGUCCUCGCUGAGUCCACUCUCAGUCUUCGCUUUUGUCAAGAUGUGGACGUCUUUCCAGGUCUCCGAAGAAUCCUGGACUCAUGGGAGACGUAGAGAUUCUGAGUGGAUCCAUUAGAUACCUUUGACCUUGCAUAACAACAAAAUAUGGCUGCAGCGGGCAGCGUUGUGUUGUGACGACCAAUUCGGCUCAUCAGUCGCUGUGCUGAAAUGUCUUUUUCGAGGGAUGCGUCGACUUUUUUUUUUACUGUAAGUCGGACCGCAUCAGUGACACGCUAUGUGGCGAUGCAGAGAGACAGACUGUCAAAAAUGCACCUGUACAUUAGGAACACAUGCACAACAAUAUUUGAUCAAGUUAGGCAUCACUUGUUGUAUUUUUCAUCAUAAUUUUUCAUCAUAAUUAGGGACCGCAAUUUUCUUAUUGUUACUUAUUAAAUCCACAAUUCAGUAAAUAACAAAACAUAUUUAACAUAUUUAAUUUUUUAAAUCAUAUUCCUCGAUGACUGGCUGGAAAAAAAAAGUCACAUUUUAAUGCUACGCGUCUGUUUCCUUUGCCCUCCAUGAACAAAUAAAACAAUAGACCCCCUAAUUAGCAAAGAAAACCACAAAAGAGAAAAGAUAAUUUUACUAAAGCACAGAAUGAUUCUACAGAAAUGUCCCAGAAAGAUUGAAAAAUGUUUCACAUUUGAGUGUAUGUCACACCGAGGCCUUCAGUGAUGUCCUAUUUGGUCAGAAUUAAAUAAAAACCUCUCAUAAAACCUUAUUGGAGGAAUACAUUACAGAAAUGCACUAUUGGGCUUCGAAUCAUCUCAAUAAUGUACAAAACGGGCUAUCAUAUCAAUAAAAAAAACAUAUCUAUGCGGUACUGUCAACAUUAAAAUAAUUGGAAAAAAUAUAUAUAUACAUAUAUUUAAACUAACAAUUUGCAGCACCAAUUGGAAACCGUAAGCCAGUGGUUGAGUCAAUUUGAUGUGGUAAGUGGUAUCAAACCGUUAAUCCGGCUGGGACAGGUUAGCAAGCUCGGGGGUUGGCAGACAAAGUCUCAUGAGAUCCAGCUGCUUUUGAAAUGUCCUUCUUGAAAAUGGCCUUGCAAAUAUACAAUAUAUCUGCAACUUGAACACAAUUUUGCUCACCUUCGUUGUGGGUUAAAAAAGCAAGUGUCACACCGCGGUGAGGGAAGUCUUGUCUUGGUUUUUCUGUCUUGUGAGUUACGUGUUUUAUUUUGAAUUGAUUAACGUGGACCCCGACUUAAACAAGUUGAAAAACUUAUUCGGGUGUUACCAUUUAGUGGUCAAUUGUACGGAAUAUGUACUGUACUGUGCAAUCUACUAAUAAAAGUAUCAAUCAAUCAAUCAAUUGAAAAGCUACCCUCUUGUUUCAGAUCACGGGCCCUUCCUCAUGUGUCACCAGUCUAACGUCAUCCCUGAUCCCUGAUUGUUUCCACCUGUUUCCCAUCAUACCUAUAUCCUAUUUAAGCUCAUGCCUCCUCUUGUCCUGUGCCAGAUUGUCUCGUCUAUUGUGCCUUUCUAGCGUCCACGUCCAUGUCCAUGAAAACCUCUUUGUCUUGCUCCUAUUUCCCUAGUUCCCCUUUUUGGAUCAAGCUGUCUUUUGCUGUAAUUUUGAGUUUACUUUUUUCCUCCUUCGAGCGUCCUUUGUUAUCCUUCGUCUACCUAAUUGGUGAGUUUUUGUUUUUCCAAAUUUCGUAUUGUUUGCUUCAUUGAUUGAGUUAUUUUUUGUUUAUUCCUAGUUAGUGUUAUACAUAGAUCGUUUGUGUUUUUUUCCUCCUUUUGGAGUGCUUUUGGUUAAUUCUUAUAGAGAUUCUAUUUUUGUUAGUUAUUCUUAGAUUAGUAUUCCUCCUUAUUUUUUGGAGUGAUUUUGAUUACCUGUUUAUUCUCGGAAUUAUUUUCCGCAUAUGGUAUUGAUUUUACGAAUUACUUUUUGUACCGGAGGUAAAAAAGUUAUUUCAAAAUAAAAGCUUUAUUUUUUUUAACUUCCUCUCUACAUCUGGGUCCUCUCCUUACUCCGAGUCGUAACAGCGAGUAGAUAUCAGAUUUCUCUGCUAGCCUGGUAUGGCUCCGGUGCGGCACUUCCUGCUUUUGCAACUCAUAACCUGUGAUUGGAUACUCACUUGUGUGAGUAACAACUACCAUAUUUUCCGGUCUAAAGGGCGCACUUGAAAAAAUUUUCUUUCUCAAAACUCGAUGCUACCAUGAAUUGAUUAACGUGGACCCUGACUUAAACAAGUCAAAAAACGUAUUUGGGGGUUACUAUUUAGUGGUCAAUUGUACAGAAUAUGUACUGUACUGUGCAAUCUACUAAUAAAAGUUUGAAUCAAUCAAUCAAAUCGACACUGCGCCUUAUAGCCCGGUGCGCCUAAUGUAAGGAAUACGUUUGGUUGAGCUUACCCACCUCGAAGCAAUUUUAUGUGGUACAUGGUGUAGUGAUAAGUGUGAUGAGUAGAUGGUAGUCAAACAUAAAAGAUAAGUGCAGGCUGCAGCGUUUAAUGUGCUUUAGCAUACAAGUAUUAUUAUGGUGUGUGUAUAAGGCAAAACAUAUCUGGCAUUUUGUUUUUCAAUAUUAUGCAAAAGCAACCAUUCUUACCUCCUGGUACCUGCUGAUCUGCAUUUGGGAUCAGCAUAAAUCCUGAAAAAUUGCGCGUCCCCGCCUUUGUAGUCCGUGGAGACAAUAUUGUCGAUAAGCUUUUUCUUUUUCUCUAUCUUCUUGUUAUGCGGCAUUCAUCCUCGGCUGUUGCCAUUUCUAAUGUAAAGUAGUGUAAGGUUCUUACUUGUAUCUGUCAGUAAACCCACCAUGAAAGCACUAAAUUAUACCGGUGUAGUAAGUUUAGAUUAUUCAUUCAAGGAACUUUAGAGUUCCGGUCAGACGUUUUUUCAAGAGACACAUUUCUGGUGUUGUUGUUUCUGGAGGAAAAAAUGGAAAAUAGACCAUUCAUCGGCAGUGCGCCUUAUAAUCCGGUGCGCCUUAUGUCUGGAAAAUACGGUAAGUAUCCAAUCACAGGAGGCGUGAAAAUCAAGUUCAUCAUUUCAAUGCAAAGCAACCGAGAAUGGCUACUGUCAACAACUCAAACGCUGAUUUGCUAUUGCAACUGUCUAUCAACUGUAUGUGCACAGAUCACCGCGUUGUUGAUUCAGAAGGCCUCGGCAGAUUUCAACCAGCACUGGCAACAAUCCAGCUAAAUUCUUAUCAAAUAAAACCUCUAACGUAAAAAGAGCAAAACUAGAGCCUAAUAUGACUGAAGAGAUCAUGAUGAAUACGUGUGUACAUUUAGGUAAAAAUAAAUCAAAUGAACUUAUCAAUUUAUGAUCAUAAUUUAUGUCAGGCCAGCAGGAAAGGCAAAUGUUAUUUUCUUUGUUGUUUGUCACUUUUAUGGCGUGUAAUAUGGCAAUGACGUUUAACAUACUGUAAGGCAGAUGCUGAGAAAAUAACCGGUGAACUUUGGGGAGCCUAUCUUUAAAUAAUUACAGUUUUAGGUAUGUGGGUAUUGUUUCGAGUGCUGUUUAUUUGGAAACCUGAAAAAAAUUGUUUGAUACAAAACUAUUAACAAAUAUGGCACAUUUUCCAGUUUUGUUGUUUUGAAUCACAAUGGAAUUAUUCUGGUGCUCCAAAAUGCUACUGUUAGCAUUUUUCCUUUUUCCCCCAUUUACUACAAAGUAGCAUGCUAGCAAUGCUACCGAGCAGACCUAAAAUGGCAAGCCUCAAUUUUUUUUUUUUUGCAAGAAGUUUAUUUUGCCUUUUUCGCAGACUGAGUCACAAUAAAAUUGGUGUACCUGUUCUGUAAUAAAAAAAAAAGGUCUUAUAUUCCAUCGUCUCACAUCAUCCUGUGCAAUCCAGGAAGUGGUAUGCUCACAAAGUAACGGACAAACAAUUAAAUAUCUAAUGCUUCUUGUUAGAGAUGUCCAAUAAUAUCGGACUGCCGAUAUUAUCGGCCGAUAAAUGCUUUAAAAUUAUUGGUAUCGCUUUCAAAAUUAUCGGUAUUGCUUUCAAAAAGUAAAAUUCAUGACUUAAACACAGACGAAGAGAGAAGUAUAGAGCGCCAAUAAACCUUAAAGGCACUGCCUUUGCGUGCCGGCCCAAUCACAUAAUAUCUACGGCUUUUCACACACACAAGUGAAUGCAAGGGAUACUUGGUCAACAGCCGUACAGGUCACACUGAGGGUGGCCGUAUAAGCAACUUUAACACUGUUAAAAAAAUGCGCCACACUGUGAACCCAGACCAAACAAGAAUGACAGACACAUUUCGGGAGGAAAUCUGCACCGUAAAACAACAUAAACACAACAUAACAAAUACCCAGAACCCCUUGCAUCACUAACUCUUCCGGGACGCUACAAUAUACACCCCCGCUACACGCUACCCCCACAGCCCUGCCCCACCCCUGCCCCUCCCCAACCCUGCCCAACUCAACUUCCUCAUGCUCUCUCAGGAAGAGGAUGUCCCAAUUCUAAGCUGCUGAUUUAAGGCAUGAUAAAAAAUUAAUGCACUUUGUGACUUCAAUAAUAAAUAUGGCAGUGCCAUGUUGGCAUUUUUUUCAUAACUUGAGUUGAUUUAUUUUGGAAAACCUUGUUGCAUUGUUUAAAUGCAUCCGGCGGGGUAUCACAACAAAAUUAGGCAUAAUAAUGUGUUUAAUUCCAAGACUGUAUAUAUUGUGGUUGAUAUCAGUAUCGGUAAUUAAGAGUUGGACCAUAUCGGAAUAUCGGAUAUGGGCAAAAAAGCCAUUAUCGGACAUCUCUACUUCUUGUCCACACGAAUUGUAACAGAAACAUGCACUACGUCUUUAGUUUGUCUAAUUAAGUUAAUUACAAGAGGGUUGUUACAUCACCCCUGAACAAAAAAAAUGGUACGGACCUGUUGUCCACACAACAGGAAGUGGCCUGGUGUGCUAACUAAACUUAAAAAAAACCUAAGAAAUAUGUUUAAAAAAAAUUCAAAUUUAAUUUGAGUAACAAAGGGAACCUCAAACUUUAAAGCACCUAAAUGCAAAAGGAAGAGUCCUGUCCAUCCAUUCAUACAAUGGCAUGUUCUCUAUGAACCCGGAAUUAGCGCGUUAAUAGUGUGUUUCAUUUGUACUGGGAAGACGGAAUUUCCAAGUUCCUAAAUGGAAUUUCAGCUGUAACGUGCCUCGAGUCGGAUUUAACUCUGGAUGUCGGCUUCUGUAACAUCCAUUGUUAGCGCUUCUGAUUAGUUUUUGUCGCCGUAAAUCAGCCAUAUACGAUGUGUUGUUGCACGUUAAUAUAUGGUAACGUCACUGUCGUGUAAACUACAUUUAUUUCUUGUGGUAUAUACGCUGCACGUCGCUAGAAAUAGCGUCUGUAAUUCCUUUGCAUCUGUGUUUGAAGGUUGCAAACAGAGUGCAUAUUUUCACAUAAGUUGUUUAUAUUCAGACAAAGCAAGUGCAAAAAUACCUUUCAAGGAUUUGGGACUCUUGAUUUCCGACAUCGUAAUUGGACGCCCCAAAAAAUUGGGAGUGACGUCAUUCCCAGCUCCGACUUCCCACUUCCCAGGUAAAUGGUAACAACUAAAAAAUGGACAAACAUACAAGAAAUGGCUUGAUAACUACCAAAUGAACGAACAAAGAGGAAGUAGUCCGACAAAAAAAUGGACGGACAAACAGGAAGUAGCCUGAUAACAAACAAAUGGACAGACAAACAAUAAGUAGCCUGAUAACUACCUAAUGGAAGGACAAACAGGAAAUAGAUUGAUAAAAAAUGGACGAACAAACAGGAAGUAGCCUGAUAACUAACAAAUUGACGGACAAUUAGGAAGUAGCCUGAUAACCACCAAAUGGACGGACAGACAGGAAGUAGCCUGAUAAAGAACAAAUGGACGGACAAACAAUAAGUAGCCUGAUAACUACCUAAUGGAAGCUCAACUAAAAAAUGGACAAACAUUCAAGAAAUAGCUUGAUAACGACCAAAUGAACAAACAAAGAGGAAGUAGUCUGACAAAAAAUUGACGGACAAACAGGAAGUAGCCUGAUAACAAACAAAUGGACGGACAAACAAUAAGUAGCCUGAUAAUUACCUAAUGGAAGGACAAACAGGAAAUAGAUUGAUAAAAAAUGGACGAACAAACAGGAAGUAGCCUGAUAACUAACAAAUUGACGGACAAUUAGGAAGUAGCCUGAUAACGACCAAAUGAACGAACAAAGAGGAAGUAGCCUGAUAACAAACAAAUGGACGGACAAACAAUAAGUAGCCUGAUAACUACCUAAUGGAAGCUCAACUAAAAAAUGGACAAACAUACAAGAAAUAGCUUGAUAACGGCCAAAUGAACAAACAAAGAGGAAGUAGUCUGACAAAAAAUGGAUGGACAAACAGGAAGUAGCCUGAUAACAAACAAAUGGACGGACAAACAAUAAGUAGUCUGAUAACUACCUAAUGGAAGGACAAACAGGAAAUAGCUUGAUAAAAAAUGGACGAACAAACGGGAAGUAGCUUGAUAACUAACAAAUUGACAGACAAUUAGGAAGUAGCCUGAUAACGACCAAAUGAACGAACAAAGAGGAAGUAGCCUGAUAACAAACAAAUGGACGGACAAACAAUAAGUAGCCUGAUAACUACCUAAUGGAAGCUCAACUAAAAAAUGGACAAACAUACAAGAAAUAGCUUGAUAACGACCAAAUGAACAAACAAAGAGGAUGUAGUCUGACAAGAAAUGGAUGGACAAACAGGAAGUAGCCUGAUAACAAACAAAUGGACGGACAAACAAUAAGUAGCCUGAUAACUACCUAAUGGAAGGACAAACAGGAAAUAGCUUGAUGAAAAAUGGACGAACAAACGGGAAGUAGCUUGAUAACUAACAAAUUGACGGACAAUUAGGAAGUAGCCUGAUAACCACCAAAUGGACGGACGGACAGGAAGUAGCCCUCUAACUCCCAAAUGGACGGACAAUCAGGAAGUAGCCUGAUAACUAACAAUCAACGGAAAAACAGGAAGUGGCUUGAUAACUAAAAAAGGGACAAACACGAAGUAGCCUGAUAACAAAAAGAUGGACAGACAACUAGAAAGUAGCCUGACCACUACCGAAUGGACUGACGAACAGGAAGUAACCAGAUAACUACAAAAUGGAUGAACAGACAGGUAGUAGCCGUAUAACUACCAAAUGGAUGGAUAAACAGGAAGUAGCCUGAUAACAGAGGGUCAUUUCACCACAUCUAGUGUGUGUGUGACUAUCAGUGGUACUUUAACUUUAACUACGAAAUGGAUGAACGAACAGGAAGUAGCCUGAUAACAACCAAAUGAAUGGACAAACAGGAAGUAGCCUGAUUACUACCAAAUGGAUGGACAAACAGGAAGUAGCCUUAUAACUAACAAAUGGACGGAAAAACAGGAAGUAGCCCGAUUUUUACCAAAUGGACGGACAAACAGGAUGUAGCCUUCUCACUACCAAAUGGACAGACAAACCAGAAGUGGCCCUCUAACUACCAAAUGGAUGGACAAACAGGAAGUAGGCCUCUAACUACCAAAUGGACAAAAAAUCAGGAAGUAGCCAGAUAACUAACAAUCAACCGACAAACAGGAAGUGGCUUGAUAACUAAAAAAGGGACAAACACGAAGUAGCCUGAUAACAAAAAAAUGGACGGACAAAUAGAAAGUAGCCUGACCACUACCGAAUGGACUGACAAACCGGAAGUAACCAGAUAACUACAAAGUGGGUGAACAGACAGAACUACCAAAUGGGUUGCCAAACAGUAAGUAGCACUCUCACUACCAAAUGGAUGGACAAACAGGAAGUAGACUGAUAACAGAGGGUCAUUUCACCACACCUAGUGUGUGUGUGACUAUCAGUGGUACUUUAACUUUAACUACGAAAUGGAUGAACGAACAGGAAGUAGCCUGAUAACAACCAAAUGAAUGGACAAACAGGAAGUAGCCUGAUUACUACUAAAUGGACGGACAGACGGGAAGUAGCCCUUUAAGUACCAAAUGGAUGGACAAACAGGAAGUAGCCUGAUAACUAACAAAUGUACGGAAAAACAGGAAGUAGCCCAAUCUUUACCAAAUGGAUGGACAAACAGGAUGUAGCCUUCUCACUACCAAAUGGACAGACAAGCAGGAAGUGGCCCUCUAACUACCAAAUGGAUGGACAAACAGGAAGUAGGCCUCUAACUACCAAAUGGACAAACAAUCAGGAAGUAGCCAGAUAACUAACAAUCAACGGAAAAACAGGAAGUGGCUUGAUAACUAAAAAAGGGACGAACACGAAGUAGUCUGAUAACAAAAAAAUGGACAGACAACUAGAAAGUAGCCUGACCUCUACCGAAUGGACUGAGGAACAGGAAGUAACCAGAUAACUACAAAAUGGAUGAACAGACAGGUAGUAGCCUGAUAACUACCAAAUGGAUGGACAAACAGUAAGUAGCCCUCUCACUACCAAAUGGAUGGACAAACAGGAAGUAGCCUGAUAACAGAGGGUCAUUUCACCACACCUAGUGUGUGUGUGACUAUCAGUGGUACUUUAACUUUAACUACGAAAUGGAUGAACGAACAGGAACUAGUCUGAUAACAACCAAAUGAAUGGACAAACAGGAAGUAGCCUGAUUACUACCAAAUGGACGGACAGAUGGGAAGUAGCCCUUUAUCUACCAAAUGGAUGGACAAACAGGAAGUAGCCUGAUAACUAACAAAUGGACGGAAAAACAGGAAGUAGCCCAAUCUUUACCAAAUGGACGGACAAACAGGACGUAGCCUUCUCACUACCAAAUGGACAGACAAACAGGAAGUGGCCCUCUAACUACCAAAUGGAUGGACGAACAGGAAGUAGGCCUCUAACUACCAAAUGGACAAACAAUCAGGAAGUAGCCAGAUAACUAACAAUCAACCGACAAACAGGAAGUGGCUUGAUAACUAAAAAAGGGACAAACACGAAGUAGCCUGAUAACAAAAAAAUGGACGGACAAAUAGAAAGUAGCCUGACCACUACCGAAUGGACUGACAAACCGGAAGUAACCAGAUAACUACAAAGUGGAUGAACAGACAGAACUACCAAAUGGGUUGCCAAACAGUAAGUAGCACUCUCACUACCAAAUGGAUGGACAAACAGGAAGUAGCCUGAUAACAGAGGGUCAUUUCACCACACCUAGUGUGUGUGUGACUAUCAGUGGUACUUUAACUUUAACUACGAAAUGGAUGAACGAACAGGAAGUAGCCUGAUAACAACCAAAUGAAUGGACAAACAGGAAGUAGCCUGAUUACUACUAAUUGGACGGACAGACGGGAAGUAGCCCUUUAACUACCAAAUGGAUGGACAAACAGGAAGUAGCCUGAUAACUAACAAAUGGACGGAAAAACAGGAAGUAGCCCAAUCUUUACCAAAUGGACGGACAAACAAGAUGUAGCCUUCUCACUACCAAAUGGACAGACAAACAGGAAGUGGCCCUCUAACUACCAAAUGGAUGGACAAACAGGAAGUAGGCCUCUAACUACCAAAUGGACAAACAAUCAGGAAGUAGCCAGAUAACUAACAAUCAACGGAAAAACAGGAAGUGGCUUGAUAACUAAAAAAGGGACGAACACCUGAUAACAAAAAAAUGGACAGACAACUAGAAAGUAGCCUGACCUCUACCGAAUGGACUGAGGAACAGGAAGUAACCAGAUAACUACAAAAUGGAUGAACAGACAGGUAGUAGCCUGAAAACUACCAAAUGGAUGGACAAACAGUAAGUAGCCCUCUCACUACCAAAUGGACAAACAAUCAGGAAGUAGCCAGAUAACUAACAAUCAACCGACAAACAGGGAGUGGCUUGAUAACUAAAAAAGGGACAAACACGAAGUAGCCUGAUAACAAAAAAAUGGACGGACAAAUAGAAAGUAGCCUGACCACUACCGAAUGGACUGACAAGCCGGAAGUAACCAGAUAACUACAAAGUGGAUGAACAGACAGAACUACCAAAUGGACGGACAAGUAAGAAGCACUCUCACUACCAAAUGGACGGACAAACAGGAAGUAGCCUGAUAACAGAGGGUCAUUUCACCACACCUAGUGUGUGUGUGACUAUCAGUGGUACUUUAACUUUAACUACGACAUGGAUGAACAAACAGGAAGUAGCCUGAUAACAACCAAAUGAAUGGACAAACAGGGUGUAGCCUGAUUACUACCAAAUGGACGGACAAACGGGAAGUAGCCCUUUAACUACCAAAUGGAUGGACAAAGAGGAAGUUGCCUGAUAACUAAAAAAUGGACGGACAAACAGGAAGUAGCCCUCUCACUACCAAAUGGACGGAUAAACAGGAAGUGGCCUGAAAACUAACAAAUGGAUGGACAAACAGGAGGUAGCCUGAUGACUAACAAAUGGUGGGACAAACAGGAAGUAACCCUCUCACUACCAAAUGGACAGACAAACAGGAAGUGGCCCUCUAACUACCAAAUGGAUGGACAACCAGGACGUAGGCCUCUAACUACCAAAUAGAUGGACAAACAGCAAAUAUCCUGAUAACUAAAAAAUGGACGGAUAAACAAGAAGUAGCCUCAUAACUAUAAAGUGGACGGACAAACAGGAGGUAGCCUGAUUCGAGUCAUACCAAACGCUAUAAAAAUGGGACCGAUUACCUCCCUGCUUGGCACUCAGCAUCAAAGGUUCGCAUUGGGGGUUAAAUCACCAAAAAUUAUUCCCAGGCGCGGCCACCGCUGCUGCUCACUGUUACCCUCACUAAAAAAUGGAUGGAGAAACAGGAAGUAUCCUGAUAACUAACAAAUGGAUGGGCAAUUAGGAAGUAGCCCGAUAAUUAAAAUAUGGACAGACAAACAAGAAAUAGCUUGAUAAUUAAAAAAUGGACGGACAAACAAGAAAUAGCGUGAUAAUUAAAAAGGGACGGACAAACAGGAAGUAGCCUGAUAACUAACAAAUGGAUGGACAAACAGUAAGUAGCCUGAAUACUACCAAAUGGAUGGACAAACAAGAAGUAGCUUGAUAAUUAAAAAAUGGACAGACAAACAACAAAUAGCUUGAUAAUUAAAAAGGGACGGACAAACAGGAAGUAGCCUGAUAACUAACAAAUGGAUCUACAAACAGGAAGUAGCCUGAAUACUACCAAAUGGACGGACAAACAGGAAGUAGCCUGAUUACUAAAAAAUGGACGGACAAACAGGAAGUAGCCUGAAAACAAAAGUAUGGACGGACAAACAAGAAGUAGCUUGAUAACUAAAAAAUGGACGGAGAAACAGGAAGUAUCCUGAUAACUAACAAAUGGAUGGACAAUUAGGAAGUAGCCCGAUAAGUAAAAUAUGGAUGGACAAACAAGAAGUAGCUUGAUAAUUAAAAAAUGGACGUAGAAACAGGAAGUAGCCUGAUAACUAACAAAGGAUGGACAAACAGGAAGUAGCCCGAUAAUUAAAAAAUAGACGGACAAACAGCAAGUAGCCUGAUUACUAAAAUAUGUACGAACAAACAAGAAGUAGCCUGAUAACUAAAAAAUGGAUGGACAAACAGGAAAUAGCCUGAAAACUACCAAAUGGAUGGACAAACAGGAUGUAGCCCGAUAAUUAAAAUAUGGACGGACAAACAAGAAGUAACUUGAUAACUAAAAAAUGGACAGAGAAACAGGAAGUAGCCUGAUAACUAACAAAUGGAUGGACAAACAGGAAGUGGCCCGAUAAUUAAAAAAUAGACGGACAAACAGCAAGUAGCCUGAUUGCUAAAAUAUGUACGAACAAACAAGAAAUAGCCUGAUAACUAAAAAAUGGAUGGACAAACAGGAAAUAGCCUGAAAACUACCAAAUGGAUGGACAAACAGGAUGUAGCCUGAUAAUUAAAAUAUGGACGGACAAACAAGAAGUAACUUGAUAACUAAAAAAUGGACAGAGAAACAGGAAGUAUCCUGAUAACUAACAAAUGGAUGGGCAAUUAGGAAGUAGCCCGAUAAUUAAAAUAUGGACAGACAAACAAGAAAUAGCUUGAUAAUUAAAAAAUGGACGGACAAACAAGAAAUAGUGUGAUAAUUAAAAAGGGACGGACAAACAGGAAGUAGCCUGAUAACUAACAAAUGGAUGGACAAACAGUAAGUAGCCUGAACACUACCAAAUGGAUGGACAAACAAGAAGUUGCUUGAUAAUUAAAAAAUGGAUAGACAAACAACAAAUAGCUUGAUAAUUAAAAAGGGACGGACAAACAGGAAGUAGCCUGAUAACUAAUAAAUGGAUCUACAAACAGGAAGUAGCCUGAAUAAUACCAAAUGGACGGACAAACAGGAAGUAGCCUGAUAACUAAAACAUGGACGGACAAACAAGAAGUAGCUGGAUAAUUAAAAAAUGGACGUAAAAACAAGAAGUAGCCUGAUAACUAACAAAUGGAUGGACAAACAGGAAGUAGCCCGAUAAUUAAAAAAUAGACGGACAAACAGCAAGUAGCCUGAUUACUCAAAUAUGUACGAACAAACAAGAAGUAGCCUGAUAACUAAAAAAUGGAUGGACAAACAGGAAAUAGCCUGAAAACUACCAAAUGGAUGGACAAACAGGAUGUAGCCUGAUAAUUAAAAUAUGGACGGACAAACAAGAAGUAACUUGAUAACUAAAAAAUGGACGGAGAAACAGGAAGUAUCCUGAUAACUAACAAAUGGAUGGGCAAUUAGGAAGUAGCCCGAUAAUUAAAAUAUGGACAGACAAACAAGAAAUAGCUUGAUAAUUAAAAAAUGGACGGACAAACAAGAAAUAGCGUGAUAAUUAAAAAGGGACGGACAAACAGGAAGUAGCCUGAUAACUAACAAAUGGAUGGACAAUCAGUAAGUAGCCUGAAUACUACCAAAUGGAUGGACAAACAAGAAGUAGCUUGAUAAUUAAAAAAUGGACAGACAAACAACAAAGAGCUUGAUAAUUAAAAAGGGACGGACAAACAGGAAGUAGCCUGAUAACUAACAAAUGGAUCUACAAACAGGAAGUAGCCUGAAUACUACCAAAUGGACGGACAAACAGGAAGUAGCCUGAUAACUAAAACAUGGACGGACAAACAAGAAGUAGCUUGAUAAUUAAAAAAUGGACGUAGAAACAAGAAGUAGCCUGAUAACUAACAAAUGGAUGGACAAACAGGAAGUAGCCCGAUAAUUAAAAAAUAGACGGACAAACAAGAAAUAGCUUGAUAAUUAAAAAAUGGACGGACAAACAAGAAAUAGCGUGAUAAUUAAAAAGGGACGGACAAACAGGAAGUAGCCUGAUAACUAACAAAUGGAUGGACAAACAGUAAGUAGCCUGAAUACUACCAAAUGGAUGGAGAAACAAGAAGUAGCUUGAUAAUUAAAAAAUUGACAGACAAACAACAAAUAGCUUGAUAAUUAAAAAGGGACGGACAAACAGGAAGUAGCCUGAUAACUAACAAAUGGAUCUACAAACAGGAAGGGGCCUGAAUACUACCAAAUGGACGGACAAACAGGAAGUAGCCUGAUAACUAAAAAAUGGACGGACAAACAAGAAGUAGCUUGAUAAUUAAAAAAUGGACGGACUAACAAAAAAUAGCUUGAUAAUUAAAAAAAUUGACCGACAAACAGGAAGUAGCCUGAUAAUUAAAAAAUGGACGGAAAAACA